UACAGAGGUCUCAAGCGUUGUUCGGAUUCAUUGGGCGUAAAGGGUGCGUAGGCGGCGCCGUAAGUCAGGUGUGAAAUCUCGGGGCUCAACCCCGAAACUGCAUUUGAUACUGCGGUGCUCGAGUACUGGAGAGGAGAUUGGAAUUUACGGUGUAGCAGUGAAAUGCGUAGAUAUCGUAAGGAAGACCAGUGGCGAAGGCGAAUCUCUGGACAGUUACUGACACUGAGGCACGAAGGCCAGGGGAGCAAACGGG
rnacentral:rRNA from 1 species